UUUCAACUAUUUUUUGAUAAAAUAAAGCAAAAACUAAACAACAUAUAUGUACAGCUAGCACAACACCAAUUCUAUUCACGGAUGGGAAAAUAAAAAUNAUUAAGUUUCUAUCAAAGGAUAUGACUUCCUAGAAAGAUAAACAGACAGUAUAAGCUAUAAAGUACUCAUGGAUUGAUACAAGCAGAGAGAAAAAAACUCAAUGAGACAGAGGUCUAAGGGUAUAAAAAAUAGGUUUAAAGCCAAGGUGUGGGUUAGGGUCUCAUACUCUGAAUAGAUUGAGCUUCACUGAUCCUGCAAAACUUGGCAUUACGUUUUUUUUCUUGCAAAUUCGUAGAUUUUCGAGAGAAAUCAUUGAUAAAACCUCUUCAAAAGGAAGAAAAAUCCCACAUUUUGGAACCACUGAGAUGAUGAAAUCCAUCAAAAAGGUUCUUAUUGGCAUUUCUGCUGAAGAGUGGUAUGAUGAAAUUUUGUUAUGACUCAUCCACUUAUAAUUAUUGAGUGCGAGGUAUGCUGAAAUUCUGUUACGUCUUGGCAUCGGAGCUUCUAUGAGGGAAAAUCUGCUGCCUUUUCAGGUGCAUGGAAGAGGAAGGAGGCUGAAUACGCAUGUUACUGAAGGUGAAAAUCAUUGGCCAUAAUGCUUGUUUCAAGUACUAUAGUUUUCCCAAAACCAACAGUGCACAUGAGAAAUAGAAUAAUGGAAUUGUUUCAGCAGGGAAUCAAAACAUUCUAAAUAUCAACAAAAUGUUACAAGUUCUUAUGCAUUGUCUAGAAUGGAACAACUGGAUUAAGGCUACCAACAUGAACUAUUGUUUGAAAAUUGCUUGGCAUCCCUUGAAAUGUAAGAUUCUUAAACUCUCCAGUAUCUGGAUUAUAGCAAACCAAAGUUCCUCCUUUGUACUCCACCAAGAUUUCACCUGUCUUCAUAACGCAUAGAAUCCGGACUGAAUUCCCACCCAAAAAGUUAUGCAAACUCACUCCCCCAUUCUGCAAUUCAGGACCAAUAAUCCUUGGAGAGUAGGCUCCAAGAGUAAACAUCUUCACCCAAGACUCUGGUAUACCAUAUUCUUUCAUCACCCAAAUAUCCAGAGCCCCAUUACCCAAAUGCGUGGCAGCAGAGAGGAAACCCCCCAAAACAGCAAGAUGACUGCUCGUCCAUUUUAAGGCACCAGAGUCUGGGUUUGGGAUCUCUCGAAAUGAAUCAUUAGAAAGGUCAAAGGAUACGAUGAUCCGACCAGGCCGUGAAGUGUACUUGGUCAGUUGACUCAUCCAGUGAAGUCUCCCACUUACCAAAACUCCUGGUGAAGACCUUUUCUCUAGUCUGUAAGGUGUUUCCCCUAUGCUGCUCCAUUCAUUGGUACCCAAAUUAUAAAUCUGAACAUCUGAUCUAAGUGAUGUCAUUAAUCCGUUGCAUUUCCUAGCAAUUUUAAGAUUGUUGGCAUUCGGAUAGUAAACUAUCUUGAUCACUUUGUACUCUUUAGUAAUUGGAUGGAACCCAAAUCCAAACAUGACAAUCUGAUCUUGGAUUUUAAUAGACUUUGGUAUCACUUUAUAGUCCCUUGUAAACGGAUUGUAUAUGUAUACGGAAUCAGCUAAUGAUGAAUCAAUUAAGCAUAAAAGGCCAUUGACUGAGCCAAUCACACUAAAUUCUGGCGUGAAAUCAGAAAAGGGAGUAUCAAAUUUUCUCACUAUUUGAUUGUCGUCAUCAUCCAAAAACUCAAGAAAAUGAAGCUGGUUUCGAAGCGGAUAUUUAGAAUGGAAAAUGAGGCAUACCCUUUGAUAAAUCAUUGUCAUGGACAUGUGCAUAUGAACGAGAAGUGGAUCACAAGACAACAGGUUCCAUGAUCGACAAGCAAACCUGGAUUGGAUAACAGAUUUGAUAGGCAAUCUAGACAGUAUGUCAAGGGCGAUUUCAUUUGGCAAACAACUUAAACUAUUUGUGGGCUCAUCUUCUUCUUUAUAGCACUUCCUGUUCUUGAAAUCCAUGCUCUGAUUGCUAUCAGGAAUCAAAAGGGAGAUUGGAUUUAAAGAAAGCUUGAAAAUGUCAUGAUAUUGCAAUUAUUGUUUCGAGCAGUUGACCGUCUAAGAAGUUGGAAACCACACAAUCGUCCUUUCAA
rnacentral:lncRNA from 1 species